rnacentral:rRNA from 1 species
GGCUAACUCCGUGCCAGCAGCCGCGGUAAUACGGAGGGUGCGAGCGUUAAUCGGAAUUACUGGGCGUAAAGCGCAUGCAGGCGGCCUGUUAAGUCAGAUGUGAAAGCCCGGGGCGUUAACCUCGGAAUUGCAUUUGAAACUGGCAGGCUAGAGUCUUGUAGAGGGGGGUAGGAAUUUCAGGUGUAGCGGUGAAAUGCGUAGAGAUCUGAAGGAAUACCAGUGGCGAAGGCGGCCCCCUCGGACAAAGACUGACGCUCAGAUGCGAAAGCGUGGGGAGCAAACAGGAUUAGAUACCCUGGUAG